rnacentral:rRNA from 1 species
UACGUAGGGUGCAAGCGUUGUCCCGGAAUUAUUGGGCGUAAAGAGCUCGUAGGCGGUCUGUCGCGUCGGCUGUGAAAUCCCGGAGCUCACUCUGGGUCUGCAGUCGAUACGGGCAGACUGGAGUUCGGCAGGGGAGACUGGAAUUCCUGGUGUAGCGGUGAAAUGCGCAGACUAUCAGGGAGGGAACCACCCGGGUGGGCCGAAAGGCCGGGUCUCCUGGGCC